CUCUCUCUCUAUAUAUAUAUAUAUAUAUAUAUAUAUAUAGUCCGGUUACUAUUAUGAGUACGAACGCCCUCGUACUCAUAAGUCGUUUUCAAUGAUAGAGCUUCCGAAUCAACGAUCUAUACUGCUAAACAUUAUUUAGAACAUUUAAAAUUUUUAGAAAUCAAAUUUCACAAUUUUUCGGCAUCAUUUACCUUACUAUUAAAAGGUCACAAAAUUGACAAUUUUUAACUGCUGAUAUGAAAUAUUUGUUAAUUUAACUGUGUAAAAGAAUUGAAAUAUGUUAAAUUUUUAAUAGAAAAUUCUAUUCACUAACUAAAUAAAGAUCAAUAACUCCGAUAAUAAAUUGAAGGAUCCGAUCAUCCGAUGUCGUUCGAUUUUGACCGUUCAUUUUAUGCCCACUUGAUGGAUUUUAUUAUGAUUUCAAAAAAUUAUAAAAUUUAUUUUUUAGAAGUUUCAAAUACUCUAUAUUAUAUUUAACGGAGUGGAUUGUCGAUUCGGAAGCUCCAAUAUUAAAAACAACUUAUGAGUACGAAGGACUUUAUACUCAUAAGAGUAUAAUAACUCUACUCAUCUAUAUAUAUAUAUAGAGAGAGAGAGAGAGAGAGAGAGAGAUGAGCUAGAAUACUAUCGAUAGCAAACGGGCUCCGUUGCCACCCAUUUGUUUUCGAUGAUGGAGCCUCCAAAUUGACGAUCGGCACCAUUGAACAGGAUCUAUACCACUUGAAGUGUUUAGAAAUCAAAUUUCAUACAAUUUCAACAUUGUUCUCUUAUCCAUCGAGUGGACACAAAAAUAAAAGGCUAAAAAUGAAUAUUCUUUAAAAAAUGAUGAUAGGAGUCUUGUAAUCAAGAUCAAGAGUAUAGACCUUGUUUUAAAUAGUUUAAAGAAUUUUAUAAUAAAAAUUUAAUUGAUUUGGAUAUCUUUACGCCGUUAAACGAGAAAACGCCUCAUAUCGACCAUUAAAAUUACAAAAUUUGAAACCUUUUGAUCAUUAGGCAAAUAAUGUCGAAAAGAUUUCAAAUUUGAUUUCUAAACAUUUCAAGUGGUAUAGAUCAUGUUCAACGGUGU
rnacentral:lncRNA from 1 species